GGAGGGCGUCGCGAUGGGCGGGGCGGAGCUUGUGUGAUCAUCCUAGCACCUUGGAUCCCGGGCAGUUUUUCAGAACACUGAUAUCUAUGGACUCUAUCAUGGACUUCAUUUAAAGAAAUCCACGGACCAUUAAUGGACAAAAACAUGAAUCAAUUUGUAUUGUGGCAUUCAAAUCCUAGCACUUUGGGAAAGCAUCAAGUACAAGUUUUUGAAGACCUUGGGGCCUACCAUCAUUACGCAUUCAAGAUUUGAGUUUGAAUAACUUCAUCAAGACUUAGAUCCUCUUCAAAAGCCUCAAGUCUCAUCUGUAUUAAAGCUCUCCAUUGAACUCUCUCACAAAAGUAAAAGCUUAAAGGGACUGAAAUCCAUUAAUACGUUCCAUUUGAUAUCCUUUCCUCUGAUUUCUCUUCAAUUUCCUUGGCCUUUAGGGUCUUUCAUAUUGUUUAUGUUCCUUUAGACUGGAGCCAAGGAAAAAGUGCUUUCCAAAAGAAUAUAUGUCCUGCGGCCAUAAAUUUUCAUUGGUAGAGAGGCAUAAACUUGGCUUAAGUUUAGAAUCAGGUUUUUUGUUGUAUCCUAUAAAAACUUCAGUUAACAAUAAGAAAAUGAAGAUGAAGGGGUAAAAAUAUUUGAGGUCAGAUUAUACUCUCAUAGGCUAUGUGGUUUAGAGAAAAGAGCCUUCAACCUAAAAGUUAAUGCUUCUUAUUCUUUCUGCCUCUUGCUAGAUAUUUGAUAACUGAGAAAGUCACUUAACCUCUCUGAACCUUAACUUCAUCUGUAAAGUAAAUCUGAUAAUAAUUUCCCUGCCUACCUCACAGGGUUGUUGUGAGGAUCCAAUGAAAUAAUGUACGUAAAAAGGACUUUUAUAUAAAAUGUGCGGUACAGACCUAGGGUCCUGUUACAUAGUUGUGAGCUGGGAAUCCUCGGCUCUUGGGCCUGGGAAGGUAGGUGGUUUAAGCACACUGAAAGCAGGUACCGUGUCCAGGCUGGAUACAUGGUAACCAGGCUAUGUUAAUUUUUGUUUUCGGUGAGUACCUAGAGUAUUCUUGUGGGCUAAUUCUAAGAAGGAGGAAGACUAUCAAUUUCCCUAAAAUUAUAAAUUAGCAUUGAUAAUGCUGUAAAGCAGUUAUGUGUUCUAACAUAUUUGUGGUUUGCAAAAUUUGUUUACUAAGUUGUGACCAGCAAUUUUUUAAAUGAAAGAACAUAGAGCAGAAAAUUUCACAAUGCAUCCCACAUGGUAAGAGUAAAUAUUGUUUUAAUUAUAUAUACGUGUGAAUGUGUGUGUGUUUGUCCUUGUGUAUUUGGUCGUUAAAUAAAAUGCAUUUUUUCCUAUGAGUUGCAGUCACUGAUCUAGGAGUAUCAUUUUAGUACUAAUGUCUUUCUAUGCAUUUGGAUUUUUACGAGACUCCGUGUUUCUUUUCACUUCAUGCUACUACUUAUGGCAAAAGAAUUAACAGUUAAUAUCAGUUUGACUUCUGGUCUAAUUAAUGAGAUAGUGUUUAAUUUCAGAGUGCAGAGAAAGCCUAUCGGCCUUCUGGGUAUUUUAUUUAAUAUUCUAAUACCAUCUACUCUGACACCCAGACUGUUAUAACAUUUAAUGUUGGUUCAACCUCAUACUAGUAGAAAGAUUGUAUGAAAUGUUUUUUCUUUUUAAAAUUUUUUACUUUUAUCUUUCUGGCCUAAUGGAAAACAACCCCCCCCCACUUAGUUUAGCGUUGUUUGGGGACUCCAUGGAGAUAGGCUAUAGAGAAUACAGUUAGCAUGACUAGGAGUUUGAUGGUCUCUAGAAGAGAAAAUGCCAAUUUUUCUUUCUCUAACUAAAUUUAUCUUUAAUGAUUUAAG